AGAGGAAACCAAGCGCAGUUUUGAAUUCAGUGGUUAAAAUCAUGCAGUUUUGAAAUGUUCAGUCUGCCAUCCUGAGUCAAGAGAAGAUGCCACACAAAUCCCCUGCCACAUUUUAUUUGAUGCAUUUCCGACUCAAUCUCUGUGCCAGAAAAUAAGUAGUAGUGUGAUGAUUAUGAUGAUGUGUGAUUCCUUGCAAAAACACCGACACUCAUCUCAGAAUAGAAAAUGUAACAUGUGAAGUGGUUUCCGUGACACAAACGGCACCAGUCUUUAGGCAAACGUAACGCUUGCAUAGUAAGAAACUGAAGUGAAAAUGUCCACCUUCUUAUUCAGAAAUAGUACAUAACAAUCUAUGGAACAUGGUUUUAAAAGAGAAGAGGCCAUCAGACUUCCAUAACAUUCUUUUGAGCUAAGAAAAGCGAUCUGACUAAGCGGAGGACCAAGCCUGCUCUGACCACCAGACAAAUUGUGCAGCCUGGGAUCAAUGCUCUGGGUGCAACUUAGUGCCAUUCAGCUCAGUGGUACUUAGUUUUAUUAUCUGAGUCCAUCGAGACCAAAUUUGUGUGAGGUUACUAGUUGAUCCCAAUGAGAACAACCGGACGCCUCUGUCGGGAGUCUCUCCCCAAUAUGUCAAGAAGGUGACCAUCUCCCAAACAAUCUGUGGACUCUUGAGUGCACACACAGACAAUCAGCCCUGGUGUUGCUAUAGUUAUGAUUGUUUUAUCUUCUCUGUUCACCUGCCAAUGGGCAGAGCUGGACUGUGUAGCUCCACAGCGAGUGGAAGAUGGAGCAGGCAGUAGCAGCAUGGGAGGGCGAGGAGUGGAAUCGGCAGUUUUCAAUUUAAAGGUCUGGCCUGUCUGUAGCCUGGCAGGAUUGAGUUUACCUUUGCAAUCUUGGGAUAAGUCAGCAACGACGGUGACAUUUCUCUACAGUGCCCAGAUCUCACAUUCAUUUUGCCUGUUUUUCCUUCUGUCGCCAAUUAGUUAUCGGCUAAUGGUGCUGUGUGCUGCAAAGUGCUCUCUUACAGGAACGAAAGGGCAGCGAUGAGGAUAAAUGCAACAGUUAUCAUUCUCUGCCUAAGAUUCUCGUCGUACGCAUUUCUCAUUUGUAUUGCUCAAGGAUAAGAUUUACGUUGCUUGAUAUCAGGACCAGGCUGCCUAGAUCUGUUGCGCUUUAUUGUAUUUGUAUUCAUUAAGACAGAUUAAACACCUACAAAACAACCAAUACUUGAUACUACUUGCUCAGUGACAUUGCGAGACACGUUAGAAGCACUCUAAAUGAGAUGAAUUAAGCUUCCGUUGUGUUAAAGGAACAAGGUCAUCAGGCUGAAAUUAAUCAUUUUUUCUUUCAAAUCAGUGAAAAGCCUUAUUUUAUAGUCUUGGUUUGCAAUUUGAAGCUUUCAGGAACACCUCUGAAAUUUAUUCAGCCUUUUCUUUCUGAAAUGCACCCAUAUUUUACACCCUGCACACUUCACCCUAGUUGUUUAUAGUGUUAUGGUAAUUGCAUCCAUAAAUUACCAAUCUGACACCAAAUGUAUUUGUACAGAAUAUCGGAGCUGAGCACUGCAGAUAUUUUUUAAAUGUCAUCAGCCCUGAAAAGGGAUAAAAAAGAUGAUGCUGUUUGACUUUUCCAGCACUAAAUAUCUGAGUCAUGUCUGCACUGACCAAUUCUUAUAUGAUUUGCUCUAAUAUUUGCGCCUUCAUUUCUCCUUCCAUGAUUUCUCCAGUUGCUUGCACAGCCCAACCCAAUUUUUUAAAACCGUCUUUAAAAUUAAUUACUGCUCGGUUUCCACAACAUCAUGAAUGUGAAAGCUGGAAUCUGACAAAAUAGUAUUUUAUUUAUUUCAUAAGAAAGAUGCACCACAUAAUUGUUAAAAACAACAACCCUCAAAAACUAAAACAAUGAAAUUAUCAGAAAAAUAAACAAGCAGACAACAGCUCAGUCCCCAGUGAACCUCAGGGGUGAGGCAAACCACCAGAAGUAUCCCAUCAGAAGAUUUUAGUAAUUGAGAUGGAACAUAAUGAGGUACUUUGGCACCAAGUUGUUUAGGGCUUUGAACCUGGCUUGGUAGCAAAUCAGCAACCACUACAGCGCCCUCAGCAGCAGAGUAACAUGCUGUCAAUAAUUUGACGAGCAGAAAUUGAGAGGCACAUAGUCAGAUGCAUCUUUGCAAGCAACCUGUCCAUAGCGUAACCAAAACUGAUCCCACAAAGUCAGAAAAGAGGGAGCACUGGACACCUCAGCUGAGACUGUAAGCAGAGGCAGAUUUAGGGCAGCCCGACCAGUUUCCCCUGAGCUGAGGGGGUUGCUGCAGGGUGUCACAACUAUGACACAGUGAAUGUGCAGAAUGAAAGGCAAGAGUUGGAGAUGGGUACCAAAUGUUGGCCUUGCACAGGAUGCUGCUGCAAUUUUUAAAAACCAAAGUCUGCCCUUGCGGUAACUGAAACAGUGGCAUCUAAAUUGCUGUAGAGUCGAGCAACGAUGUCCUAAAAAUGAUAGGCCAAACAGUCUCAGCAGGGCUCCAUAGCUUGCAGAGACCUGUGCCCAUGGGUAGGUGAGACCAGAUUCCAGACAACUUGGAAGAGCUCUGCAAGACAAUUACUAGAGGAUGCAGCAGAAGCUGUGAAGUAAGACAUCUUGGCUGCCCUAACUGCCUCUUGGUAGGAGCAACAGACCCUUCUAGAACAUCUGUCGCUUAUUUUGCAUAUUCAAUAUCUAGAAAAGAUGGCACUUCAUUUUACGGGCACUAUUUUGCUUUGCUAAGACUGUCGGAAUUUUCAGAUACAAACAAAAAUUAUAAUGUACU